rnacentral:rRNA from 1 species
CACGUAUGGGGCAAGCGUUGUCCGGAUUUAUUGGGCGUAAAGAGCUCGUAGGCGGCUUAGUAAGUCGGGUGUGAAACCUCCAGGCUCAACCUGGAGACGCCACCCGAUACUGCUGUGGCUAGAGUCCGGUAGGGGAGCGUGGAAUUCCUGGUGUAGCGGUGAAAUGCGCAGAUAUCAGGAGGAACACCAGCGGCGAAGGCGGCGCUCUGGGCCGGUACUGACGCUGAGACGCGAAAGCGUGGGGAGCGAACAGG